UGCACAAGCAGCUGGCACAUGUGUGUGCCAGCUACCCGCCCGCCAGCCAUCGGCCCACACAGCCACGUCCUGCUGCACCAGCCCCCCGCCACUUUCCGUACCAAACCCACUGGUGAAGCUGGCACGGGGCAGCUCUGAGUGGGGCCAGACGGCAGCUCCUGGCCACUCAGCCCAGCUGCUGAGCUCCGGGGAUUGGCAUCAUGCCCAGCCGCCUCCUGCCAACGGUGGUUUUAGCAAGAUGGAAAAAUAAAUCACCAACAGCUUCCAGCUUCCCUUCAAUCUCCAACGCCCGUGUCACUGAGCCACCAGACACCCCACUGCGCCAGCCUUAGUGAAACCUGGCACCUACCACCCACGAGAAGGGUCUGUGCCCACCGCUCACGCUCACCACGGGGUGCUUUGAGCCCUGUCACUGCAGCAGCCAGAACCCCUGAGUCUGAGCCCUGGAAAUCUUGAGAAGACUCAUGAUUUUUAAAGCUAUUUUGGGUUUCUCGGGGGGGGGGGAGUUUCAGCCUUCUGGUUUUUGAACCUUCAAGACAGUUUCACACCAUAUGGGGCAGAAUAAAAGCCAUAUUAUUAAGAAAAGAAAAGAAAGGAAACUGAGUCUCUCGUUUCGUCAUCACAGGCCUCCGGGAACUGGAGCUUCGAAGGAUAACGCACAGUCGCACCGCGAGAGCUGGCCGCGUGGCUGGGCUCCCUGCCUGGCUUGGCUGCUGUUUCCUCUCUGACUUCUCUGCAUCGGGUUCCCGGGGCUGAUAAACGGGGAUAACUCUCGCCCACAUCUCGCAGGACCCCUUCAGGAGGCGCCUCGCACCUGGCACUGCAGAUCUGGGGUCCCGGGAGGAGGCAGGAGCCUCUCCUGCAGGGUCCGCUCCGCUUUCAGGCCGCGUCUGUGCGAAGGGAAGAGGCCUCUGCCGGGGGAUGCUCUUCUCCCAGGAUCCUGCCCUGCCCGGGACUGUAUUUAUGAUGCCGUUAUUGUUUCUGGAGCAACAGAAGAGGAGAGGACAAGCAGAGGAAUAGGAUUAUUAUUUAUGCAACGACCGUGCGUGGCUGGGAAAUCCAGACCGAGGGCUGCCCACGUCCCUAGCCCUGGGGGGCUGCUUUGGGGCUGCCUCUAGCAGGCAGAUGAAGCCUAGGUCCCAAAGAGCCCCCUUUCCCCCUGGGCUGUGUGCCCCAUUGCAGCAGAGUUUGGCAUUAAUCUGGGCAGACAUUUGUGCUCCCAUUGAUGGGCUCUGCUAGCUCCGUGCACGGGGUUCAGACAGGUGCCUCUCGCUGGUGGUACAGAGAAGGAGCGUGACAACAGGAGGAGAGGGGCAGGGGGAAGGUCCUGAACACCCCUGCACCAAUUCAAGCCCAUGGACUGCCACAGAGCUGCUGCCAAGGUCCCCUUGCACGAAGUCACCUGCAGCUGGACAACACGCUGUGGAUUGCUCUGGGAUCCAGCAGGAAUUUUCCAUCUCUGCAGUUUACGAUCAUACACCAAACCUGAGAUGGGUCAAUAUCCACAUGAAGCAAACACUCAGAGGAUGCAGUUUUGCA
rnacentral:lncRNA from 1 species